UACGUAGGGUGCGAGCGUUGUCCGGAAUUAUUGGGCGUAAAGGGCGCGUAGGCGGUUUGUCGCGUCGGGAGUGAAAACCAGGUGCUUAACACCUGGCUUGCUUUCGAUACGGGCAGACUAGAGGUAUUCAGGGGAGAACGGAAUUCCUGGUGUAGCGGUGAAAUGCGCAGAUAUCAGGAGGAACACCGGUGGCGAAGGCGGUUCUCUGGGAAUGACCUGACGCUGAGGAGCGAAAGUGUGGGGAGCGAACAGG
rnacentral:rRNA from 1 species